GAGUGUUUUGACAUGGCAGGAGUUGAUUGGUGUGAAGAAUGUGCCACCUCCUCCCUAUUUUAGAUCUUGUAUCAUACCUAAUACAAUCGUCCCAAUCUGAGUCCAAUUUGUCAACUAUUUGUAGGCGAAGAAGAUCGAUCUGGUUCCCUUUGCUGGUUGAUAUUUAGAUGAGGAAAUGGGGAAAGCUUUAGUGAUUAUCUACAUCACAGCUGCUGUGCUCCUUCUAUUCCUCAUCUCUCACUGUCCUUCUCCUUCCAACAAACCUAAGCGUCAUCGCCGACUUAAAUUGCGCUCCAACUUCACUUUUGACUCACAUUCUACCCACUAUGAACAUAUUCCCUUUGACCCUUUAGUUGCUCAAAUUGAACGCCAACGUGAGGAUAAGGAAUGGGAGAAGCAGUAUAUUGACACCCAUCAUCAUGAAUUAAUACAUGAACCUGCUCCUGGUCAAGAAUCUCAGCCUGAAUGGGAAGACUUUAUGGAUGCUGAAGAUUAUCUCAAUGAUGAACACAAGUUCAAUGUAACUGAUAGACUUGUAUCAUUGUUUCCCAAGAUUGAUGUCAACCCAUCUGAUGGUUUUGUCACUGACCAUGAGUUGACUCAUUGGAAUCUGGAGCAGACCCGGAAGGAAGUGUUGCAUAGGACUCAAAGAGAUAUGGAAGUUCAUGACAAAAAUCAUGAUGGUUUUGUCUCUUUCCAUGAGUAUGAGCCUCCUAAUUGGGUUCGGAAUUCAGAUAAUACUUCUUUUGGAUAUGAUAUGGGCUGGUGGAAAGAAGAUCACUUUAAUGCGUCAGAUAUAGAUGGAGAUGGGCUUCUAAACAUUACUGAGUUCAAUGACUUUCUACAUCCCGCCGAUACGACCAACCCAAAACUACUUCACUGGCUCUGCAAGGAGGAAAUAAGGGAGAGAGAUAGUGACAAAGAUGGUAAGGUUAAUUUCAACGAGUUCUUUCAUGGGCUGUUUGACUUGGUAAGAAACUAUGACGAGGAGAGUCAUGAUACUUCUCAUCAUCCUGAGGAUUCACAAGAGUCUCCAGCCAGAAAGUUGUUUGCUGAGCUUGAUAAAGAUGGGGAUGGAUAUUUGUCAGAAGCUGAAUUGCUACCUAUAAUUGGAAAGCUUCAUCCAUCAGAGCGUUACUAUGCAAAGCAACAAGCAGAUUACAUCAUACAACAGGCUGAUGCAGAUAAAGACGGAAGGCUUACUCUGAAAGAGAUGAUUGGUAGCCCGUAUGUUUUCUAUAGUGCAAUAUUCAACGAGGAUGAUGAAGACUAUGAAGACCAUGAUGAGUUCCGUUAGUUCAAGGAUGGUAACACGUCUCUCCUGCCCUCAGUUACUCGUGUAUGAUACUUUCCAGUUAGAUCAAUAAAUAUUUUCCUCAACCACGACGCUGGGUUCACUGUUGUUGUUGCAGCGAUUAAUUCUAUGUCUGCGGUGGAUUGAGCCAUAAUGUGCUGCUGCAUUGAGCACCACGGAAACAUCCCUGAGCCAGGAUUGAAACAAUAUCUAGAUGUGCUCUUCAUGUUAUUUGUUCAAUCACUACUAGAAUACCCAAGAAGUUUCAAAUCUAGUUUUUUAUCUAAAAAAAACUUGACACUAUAAUUACUGUUACCUUUGAUGUAUCUGACAACUUACCGACUAAGUCUCUGAAGUAUUUUUCCUUCA